AUUGAACGCUGGCGGCAGGCCUAACACAUGCAAGUCGAACGAGUGGCGGACGGGUGAGUCAUAUCGGGGAAACUGCCUGAUGGGGGGGGAUCACGACUGGACAGGGUCUCUACUACCGCAUACCAUAAGAAGUGCCCAAAUGGGAUUGGUGAGUUGGUGGGGUAACGGCUCACCAAGGCGACGAUCCCUCGCGGGUCUGAGAGGAUGACCAGCCACACUGGAACUGAGACACGGUCCAGACUCCUACGGGAGGCAGCAGUGGGGAAUAUUUCACAAUGGGCGCAAGCCUGAUGCAGCUAUGCCGAGUGUAUGAAGAAGGCCCUCGGGUUGUAAAGUACUUUCAGCCGGGAGGCGUGACCGGCAGAAGAAGCACCGGCUAACUCCGUGCCAGCAGCCGCGGUAAUAC
rnacentral:rRNA from 1 species